UGUAAAUAAAUAGCCCGCCAAUAGUCGUGCAUGCAAGCUGGUUCGACAGACAGAUUUUUGUGAACUGAAAAUGUUGCCGGUAAUCGCUGGUAUUGGCACUGAAAAAUUAUCUCUAACCAGCGUGACCAUUGACUGUCAUUUUGCCUUCUUAUGGAGCUUGGACUGCACCAUUCAGGAGAUCUGAGAACUACACACAACCAUCAGGGUCAUUACAAUGAGCAGUAGGUUGAGUACAAAACCCUCUAGAAGAGACAGGCCACGUUCUAGU